rnacentral:rRNA from 1 species
UACGUAGGGUGCAAGCGUUAAUCGGAAUUACUGGGCGUAAAGCGUGCGCAGGCGGUUUGUUAAGUCUGUUGUGAAAUCCCCGAGCUCAACUUGGGAAUUGCGAUGGAUACUGGCAGGCUGGAGUAUGGUAGAGGAAGGUGGAAUUCCCGGUGUAGCAGUGAAAUGCGUAGAGAUCGGGAGGAACACCAGUGGCGAAGGCGGCCUUCUGGACCAAUACUGACGCUCAUGCACGAAAGCGUGGGGAGCAAACAGG